AAUAUGGUUUAUUCCUUCAGUAAGGUCCAAUCACCACGAAAUUAAAGGAACCCUAUCUUUCACAAAUGGCAUGAGCAUUAGCCAAAUGUUAUGUUCUUGUAAAGCAGAAAAUAGUGGAAAAUGUAAACAUGUCUCUACUCUUGUUAAAUGUAAGUAUAAGGGAAAAUGUGAAAUUAAUGGAACAUUCAGUACAUGAGUUGAAAAAAUGUUAACAGAUUGGCAAAUGAAGACCAUUUUUAAUUGAUCUAAACAUUUAUAGAAAACAAAGUAUAUGGUUAAUAUAAAUAUUACCUGCCUGAAGUAACUUGGUGUACAAAUCAAUAGUAACCAUAAUUUUUAUUCCCAGGGCCAGUGAGAAACAAUGUGCAUUUGAUUUCUAAGUGUUCUAAGGAAAGAUCUCGUAAGAAUAAAUAGAUCUGUACAAUGAAGAUUAACCUAAUCUGUUUAACCAUCGAAAUUAUUGUAUUGUUAUAAAAAUAAUAAAUCUCCAUUUCAUAUUA